rnacentral:rRNA from 1 species
GAAUAUUGGACAAUGGGCGCAAGCCUGAUCCAGCCAUGCCGCGUGAGUGAUGAAGGCCUUAGGGUUGUAAAGCUCUUUCGCCGGUGAAGAUAAUGACGGUAACCGGAGAAGAAGCCCCGGCUAACUUCGUGCCAGCAGCCGCGGUAAUACGAAGGGGGCUAGCGUUGUUCGGAAUUACUGGGCGUAAAGCGCACGUAGGCGGCUCUGCAAGUCGGGUGUGAAAUCCCCGGGCUCAACCUGGGAACUGCAUUCGAUACUGCAUUGCUAGAGUAUGGGAGAGGGAAGUGGAAUUUCCGGUGUAGCGGUGAAAUGCGUAGAUAUCGGAAGGAACACCAGUGGCGAAAGCGACUUCCUGGACCAAUACUGACGCUCAGGUGCGAAAGCGUGGGGAGCAAACAGG